rnacentral:rRNA from 1 species
UACGUAGGGUGCGAGCGUUAAUCGGAAUUACUGGGCGUAAAGCGUGCGCAGGCGGUCGUGCAGGACAGAUGUGAAAUCCCCGGGCUUAACCUGGGAACUGCAUUUGUGACUGUACGGCUGGAGUGCGGCAGAGGGGGAUGGAAUUCCGCGUGUAGCAGUGAAAUGCGUAGAUAUGCGGAGGAACACCGAUGGCGAAGGCAAUCCCCUGGGCCUGCACUGACGCUCAUGCACGAAGGCGUGGGGAGCAAACAGG